UCCGGCUUACACCGGCGGUCUCUUGUGAGUGCCCGACAUUACUCGCUGGUAACACAAGACGGGGGUUGCGCUCGUUGGCGGACUUAACCGUACACCUCACGGCACGAGCUGACGACAGCCAUGCAACAUCUGUUUUCAGGUCUCCUUGUGAGAGAGGGCCCUAUCUCUAGAGCUUUCCUUCAAUGUCAAGAGUGGGUAAGGUUCUUCGGUUAGUAUCGAAUUAAUCCACAUGCUCCACCGCUUGUGCGGGUCCCCGUCAAUUCAUUUGAGUUUUAACCUUGCGGCCGUACUCCCCAGGCGGUCAACUUCACGCGUUAGCUUCGUUACCAAGGGAAUCAAUCCCCCGACAACCAGUUGACAUAGUUUAGGGCGUGGACUAC
rnacentral:misc_RNA from 1 species